CACCGGAGAUCCUGCCAGUAGCCAUAUGCGUAUCUCAAAGAUUAAGUCAUUCACCUGUUAUUUUAUACCGACUCAGUAAAACUCUGAAUGGCUCUUUAUAACAGUUAUGGUUCCUUUAAUCGUCACAUCCUACAUGGAUAACUGUGGUAAUCCUAGAGCUAAUACAUGCAAUGCGGAAGAAGCCGACCUCACGAUCUGGCGUGCAUUUAUCAGACCAAGACCAACCCGGGGUUCGCCCCGGUCGCUUUUGGUGACUCUGGUUAACCCAGCCGAUUGCACGGUCUUCGCACCGGCAAAAGAUCAUGUGAAUGUCUGCCCUAUCAACUUUUGAUGGUAUGUUCUGUGUCCACAAUGGUGGGAACGGGUGACGGGGAAUCAGGGUUCGGUUCCGGAGAGGGAGCCUGAGAAACGGCUACCACAUCCGAGGAAGGCAGCAGGUGCGCAAUUUACCCCUUCCGACUCGCGGAGGUAGUGACGAAAAAUAACAAUACGAAUGACAACUAAGAUAACAAUUUGAGAUCCCGUAAUUGGAAUGGGUACACUUUGAAUCCUUUAACGAGGAUCUAUUGGAGGGCAAGUCUGGUGCCAGCAGCCGCGGUAAUCCUAGCUCCAAUAGCGUAUAUUAAAGUUAUUGCGGUUAAAAAGCUCGUAGUUGGAUCUUGGGACCGGGCUUGCGGUCCGCCGCGAGGCAUGUCACUGCUCGUCCCGGCCCUCCCCGCCGGAUUCUCCCUAGUGCUCUAAACUGAGUGCCUCGGGGUGUCGGUGACUUUGUCCCGCGUUCGGCUGCUUAUCGUAUUCCCGCAAAGUCUUGUUUGUCUACAGUAGUAGACCAAGCCAUGCAUUAUUAGGCGACAGAGCGGGGUGUCCAACGAGUCCUGCGGUCCCACUGGAAUAAACGGGGUAG
rnacentral:rRNA from 1 species